rnacentral:rRNA from 1 species
AGUCACUGACAUUAGAUACCCGGGUAGUCCAGGGUGUAAACGCUGCAGACUUGGUGUUGGAAGUCCUUUGGGGGCAUUCAGUGCCGGAGAGAAGUUGUUAAGUCUGCUACUUGGGAGUACGUCCGCAAGGAUGAAACUUAAAGGAAUUGGCGGGGGAGCACCGCAACGGGAGGAGCGUGCGGUUUAAUUGGAUUCAACACCGUAAACUCACCAGGGAAGACUGUUACAUGAAGGCCGAGAUGAAGACUCUGCUAGAUUUUCAG